rnacentral:rRNA from 1 species
AUGGCCGGCGUGCACUACUUCAUCUGCGACAUCCCGGGCCACUGCCCCAGCGGCAUGAAGCUCACCGUCACCGUCACGGUCGCGGGAGGCUCGACGGCGGGAGGCACCGUCCCUACGGGCGCCUCCGGUGUAUCCCGCGGACCGGCGAUGAGCGCCGUUGUCGCCGCUGCUGAGGGGGCUCUGGUCGCGCUUGCGCUCUUCUCAUGA